UAAGUAGGUGGCAAGCGUUGUCCGGAUUUACUGGGUGUAAAGGGCGCGUAGGCGGGAUGGCAAGUCAGAUGUGAAAUACCGGGGCUUAACCUCGGGGCUGCAUUUGAAACUGCUGUUCUUGAGUGAUGGAGAGGCAGGCGGAAUUCCUAGUGUAGCGGUGAAAUGCGUAGAUAUUAGGAGGAACACCAGUGGCGAAGGCGGCCUGCUGGACAUUAACUGACGCUGAGGCGCGAAAGCGUGGGGAGCAAACAGG
rnacentral:rRNA from 1 species